AAAAGAGGACGAGGCUUACUCCUCAAAUAUGCGAGGCACUUAUGUGUUUGAAGGAUUGGGAAGAUGCUGAUUUUCGAACUCAAAGUUUUGUAGAUGAAGAUCUCUCAUAUUUUGAAGAUGACAGCACAAGUUCCCUUAAUGAAGUUUGUUGAGGAUUAUUCUGGUCAAAGCGUGACCAGCAUAGCGUCAAAACUUUGAGGGUUCAUCACUGUGUUAUCUGGGACUGCUAUAUUGCAUAGUACACGAGGGCCAGAUCCACCUUUAAUUACAGGAACGUGAGAUGACAAAUGCUGAUAUUUUACCCGGUGUCCUAGAUUAAUUUUAUUUUCCUUUUUGUGUAAUUUGGGAGGGUAGUGGUA